AAAUGAGAGAGCCGUUGGCAUAGAUCAGUAACCUUUCUGGAUAGAAAAGCACCUGAUGAGGCCAGGGACUAUUCUUCAGAGGCAAGUCCUCACACAGGUGAAGACCACUGGAAUAGAAAAAAACUACACCAGUAGCAGAGUGGAAGAACAUAGAGAAAUUGUAACCUGGUAUAAAAGUAUAGGUAGCAUCUUCUACAGCACAAGCACCUUCGAGAUUAAUGAAAGGUUGAGCAAAAAAGCCUGGCUGAACCUCAGGUAGGCUGAAGAACCUCUAUCUUCAAAUCCUGCAGCAAUGGAAGUCUGUCAAGGGCCAGAAUAAUGUGCAUAAACAUUCCUUCACCCCCAGGUUCAUUCAGAUGCCAGUCUAAAGUCUUUCUUCUAGAGAGCUCUCCUGUAGAAAACUUUGCAGGUGGCUGUUCAAAUGCUUAAAGAAAGGCAAGAGGCAUGUUUCUACACAGCAUAGGAAAAGAUCCCUUUGGAAAGCACGGAAGUUAAAGAACUCCCUCUAUAUACAGUCUCUAAGCAACUAAGUUCAUACAAAGAAAAUUCAGCAUUUCACUCUGAGGCCCUGGGAGAGAAGGCAGCAAGUAAACCACUAGCACAAUUGGUGAUCAGCUGAAUUUACUUGCAUCCUCUGCUAUCAGUUACCUGAGUUGAGACAGUUCUAUCCAGGUCUCAAGACCAACUAUAUCCAUCAGCAUUUGACACAAUGACACCCUUUGAAGGAACCAGAAUAACAAGAGCCUUGU